GCAACUGCAGUAGCUUGGCUUUCAUCAUGCUAACAAGUGCUGAUACUGAUGCAUCAGGCUAAACACGUCAAGCCACUUAUCAGGGUGCUGUUAUCGUUCCGAGGCUCAGCGUGAGUGAUUUUAUUAGUGGAGAUAGCACCAUAAUAUUCGUUUCCUCAUCAAGUUCAGACCCCAGAUCUGACCGCGUCAUUUGUUAAUUUUAGUGCCAAGGCCUGAAGUUCACCAGCGAGGUCUCCCUCAAAACUGGAGGCAGUGCUUUCGCUCAGAGGCCUGCCCGGACCAGGCUCGAUAUCCGCCACGCUGGCUGGCACGUGGCUGUGAAGCUGGCAGUGGACAGUGGAAGUCACGGAGGAAAGGCCAGAACUGUACGGACGUCGGGAUCCCGGCUGUGGGUCGACUCUGGAUGCCACAAUCUGUACUGGAGUCAUGCCGAAGGUGAGGGUGAUCAAUCCUUGGAACAAACGAUCAAGGGAAGCGGCAGAUUCUCCAUUUCUUGAAGUCUUCAAAUCAGAACCGGAGAUGAUUUUCUGGACGUUACGCUUUGGGCUCAAUACAGCAUUAACCAGCACACGCAACAGAUGGUGCUAUGAAGUGGAUCAGAAGGCACCGAGCAGCAGUCAUUAAUCUUCAUUCCUGCAAACCAGUCCGGACCCAGGAGUAUGUAAGGAGCCGGGGCCAGGGAGCGGAGCUGGCUUCCCAGCAGCUACUGAGCAUCUGGCCAAGUCCAAAGAUUCAGCGUGAGAGAAAAAGAGGAACGAGAGAGCGGUUUUGUAACGGCAACGCGAUUCACAUUCCUACAUAUGGCCAUGAUGGCUGGCACCAGAGAUACUCCCGUGAGCAGGAGCUGCCUCUGCCUGAUAGCAGGUGUUUCUGGCUUCUCCAGAGCAUCAGCUUGCAAUGAUUGCAACCAAUGAUUGCAACCAACCCCUUUGAGUAGCUCAGGUGAACUUACUAUCUCUUCCCCCAGUCCAAGGAACCAGCUAUGGGGGCUUGGCUGCCCAAUUGUGGCUGAGCUCUAGGAGUCUCAUCCAACCCACAGAGAAACUGAUAGGAUCCUUGUCUUGACUGUCAUGUGCGUUGGAUUAGGUCCCUACAGCGUAACAAGAAGGUUAUUGUGCAUGAAAAAUUAGCUAUACAGAUUAUUGGGGUGGAGGAUAAACCAGCAAACAUGGGAGAAGGAGCCUGCUGCCUCAUUUCAUAAUGUCAGGAGUAUUUCAAGAAAGUUUUGUGCAUCCACCUCUAGGCUUGGUUUGGUUUGAUGUUUGGAGGGGGGUGGGAGUUAAAGAAAGCUGGGGUGAAAUCCUGGCCCCAUUGAAACGAAUGGGAAUUUUGCUGUUGACUUCAAUGGGGCCCGGAUUUCACCCCGAUUGCUUCUAAGUGGCAGAUAGCUAAUGUGACGCCAAUUUUUUUAAAAGGUUCCAGAGAUGAUCCUGGCAAUUACAGGCAGGAACUUCAGUACCAGGCAAAUUGGCUGAAACGAUAGUAAAGAACAAAAUUAUCAGAUGCAUAGAUGAACACGAUUUGUUGGAGAAAUGUUCUAAGUGUCAGCCCCGUGUGCAAGUGGGCAGUGGCUGCUUUACAAUCUCUGCUCCUUCCACACUGCCUUUGUCACAAUUACCUUAUUCAACACAGAGUGGGUUUGCCGCUCCGAAUUAGUAACUGUAGUUAAACAUUUUAUUUCCAAAUGCUCAGAUCCUGUAGUGCUCUGGCUGGCCAUAUCAGUAGAUAGAUAGAUAGACAGAUAGAUUCAGUAACUAGCUGAGUCACUCAUGGGGUUCAUAAUGGGUUCUGGCUGCUUAGAACAGUAGCAGAGACCCCCAGCUGAUGUAUACUGCCUUAUAUUCCCUUCUGAUCUCUAGUCUCCUAGGCAGUAAGAAUGUCUGUUUAACAGCUCGCUCAAACAAGGUUCUGUAUGAAAGCAUCAGAGAUUUUCCACUACCAAUCCCUAUGACAUACUAUGCACUACCAUCAGCCUCAGGCCUACAUGAUGCAUUUAAAUGGGGCCAUGGCUGUCUAUACCUUGUGUAUAAUUCACAUGGGCCCCCUGGGAGCGGGAAAAUCUAAUUUUAUUAGAUUCAUUAUCCUUUUCUCAAGAAUUAAUAGCUCCUGAGAGCCUCAGCCUUAAUGUGCUUGAUUUUACGUUGUAAUUGAACUGCAGUGGAAAAAUUGCUGCCUUGAUCAAAAACUUCUCGCAAACUUCCCUCACCUGUAGGCAGUGCUGUUGUGUGUAUGUGACAUUGCAAGCUACAUGUCAGAGGGCCUGGCUCUCUUGAGAUAAUGCUGCAGAGUGGUUUUUAUAGUGACAAUAAAACACUGUUGUUCCUUUAUCCUCAGUACUUUGUGUGUAGAGCUGGGUGAAUAACCAUUUCUUUGGCUCACGGGAAAUUCCAAAAAAUAGUUGAAAAAAUUCAUUUCUGGUCGAACCCAACAGAUCUUACGCUGGGUCCAUAUAAUCAGAUGGAGUUGUAAGUGCCCCUUCGUUUCUAUAGCAUCUUAGAAACCCCAAAGCCACCCGAGGCUGGAGCAGAAUGGAGAAGACAACAGUGAUGCAGGAAACCCCUCGGGGAGGGAGGAUGGAUGCAUGUGUAGAGCUUUCCCAGUGUCAUUGGGCCAGGGUAUAGGAGAAGCCUGUGCUGAACUCACCUGCCUGGGUGGGAGGGAGGACC